rnacentral:misc_RNA from 1 species
GGUUAACCAACUUCAUUUUCACCUUAGGAUCCUGCAUUGCAAGCCUGGUACGUUCGCGAAUUCGUUGUAAAGUUUCUGGACUGUGCUUCCUGCCUUUAUUCCAAGGUGUGUUCCCUUUAUUAGCUUUGGAUAUCCUCAUUCGCCUCAACUUCUCUCUCUCAUUCAACUCAGCUUCCUCACUUGGCGACUGCUGCUCUACAACAACAGAAGUUGAACUUGCUGCAUAUUUUCCCAUCCUCACAUCACCAA